AUUGAACGCUGGCGGCAUGCCUUACACAUGCAAGUCGAACGGUAACAGGUCUUCGGAUGCUGACGAGUGGCGAACGGGAGAGUAAUACAUCGGAACGUGCCCGAUCGUGGGGGAUAACGAAGCGAAAGCUUUGCUGAUACCGCAUACGAUCUACGGAUGAAAGCAGGGGACCGCAAGGCCUUGCGCGAACGGAGCGGCCGAUGGCAGAUUAGGUAGUUGGUGGGAUAAAAGCUUACCAAGCCGACGAUCUGUAGCUGGUCUGAGAGGACGACCAGCCACACUGGGACUGAGACACGGCCCAGACUCCUACGGGAGGCAGCAGUGGGGAAUUUUGGACAAUGGGCGAAAGCCUGAUCCAGCCAUGCCGCGUGCAGGAUGAAGGCCUUCGGGUUGUAAACUGCUUUUGUACGGAACGAAAAGACUCUGGUUAAUACCUGGGGUCCAUGACGGUACCGUAAGAAUAAGCACCGGCUAACUACGUGCCAGCCGCCGCGGUAAGAC
rnacentral:rRNA from 1 species